GAUGAACGCUGGCGGCGUGCCUAAUACAUGCAAGUCGAGCGAACGGACGAGAAGCUUGCUUUUCUGAUGUUAGCGGCGGACGGGUGAGUAGCACGUGGAUAACCUACCUAUAAGACUGGGAUAACUUCGGGAAACCGGAGCUAAUAUCGGAUAAUAUUUUGAACCGCAUGGUUCAAAAGUGAAAGACGGUCUUGCUGUCACUUAUAGAUGGAUCCGCGCUGCAUUAGCUAGUUGGUAAGGUAACGGCUUACCAAGGCAACGAUGCAUAGCCGACCUGAGAGGGUGAUCGGCCACACUGGAACUGAGACACGGUCCAGACUCCUACGGGAGGCAGCAGUAGGGAAUCUUCCGCAAUGGGCGAAAGCCUGACGGAGCAACGCCGCGUGAGUGAUGAAGGUCUUCGGAUCGUAAAACUCUGUUAUUAGGGAAGAACAUAUGUGUAAGUAACUGUGCACAUCUUGACGGUACCUAAUCAGAAAGCCACGGCUAACUACGUG
rnacentral:rRNA from 1 species